rnacentral:rRNA from 1 species
UACGUAGGGGGCAAGCGUUGUCCGGAAUCAUUGGGCGUAAAGAGCGCGUAGGCGGUCCGAUCAGUCAGCUGUGAAAGUCGGGGGCUCAACCCUCGAAAGCCGGUUGAUACUGUCGGGCUAGAGUCCGGAAGAGGCAAGUGGAACUCCUGGUGUAGCGGUGAAAUGCGCAGAUAUCAGGAGGAACACCAAUGGCGAAGGCAGCACUCUGGGACGUGACUGACGCUGAGACGCGAAAGCGUGGGGAGCAAACAGG